UAGGCGGAAUGUUGCGUUAAGGGAGAGGUCGCUGUUAAACCCUGGUUGUCCGCACGCAUGCUAAGUUAGUCAUGAAAUGGCUGCCCGGUUAACAGGCCGGUGAUUUGCUCCAUGGAGGGUGUUAGACCCGUGUGGGCGUGCGGACCGUUGGGCAAGGCCUCUCCCCGAGAGUCGCGUUGUUUGGCAAUGCAGCGCAAAGCAGGUCGUAAACUCGAUCUAAGGCUAAAUAUAUCCACAGAACCGAUAGUGAACAAGUACCGCAAGGGAAAGUUGAAAUAGUACUCUGCAAAGAGAGUUAAAAGACCGU
rnacentral:rRNA from 1 species